rnacentral:rRNA from 1 species
GACGAACGCUGGCGGCGUGCUUAACACAUGCAAGUCGAACGGAAAGGCCCUGCUUUUGUGGGGUGCUCGAGUGGCGAACGGGUGAGUAACACGUGAGUAACCUGCCCUUGACUUUGGGAUAACUUCGGGAAACUGGGGCUAAUACCGGAUAGGAGCUCCUGCUGCAUGGUGGGGGUUGGAAAGUUUCGGCGGUUGGGGAUGGACUCGCGGCUUAUCAGCUUGUUGGUGGGGUAGUGGCUUACCAAGGCUUUGACGGGUAGCCGGCCUGAGAGGGUGACCGGCCACAUUGGGACUGAGAUACGGCCCAGACUCCUACGGGAGGCAGCAGUGGGGAAUAUUGCACAAUGGGCGGAAGCCUGAUGCAGCAACGCCGCGUGCGGGAUGACGGCCUUCGGGUUGUAAACCGCUUUCGCCUGUGACGAAGCGUGAGUGACGGUAAUGGGUAAAGAAGCACCGGCCAACUACGUG